GACGAACGCUGGCGGCGUGCUUAAUACAUGCAAGUCGAACGGAAAGGCCCUGCUUUUGUGGGGUGCUCGAGUGGCGAACGGGUGAGUAACACGUGAGUAACCUGCCCUUGACUGUGGGAUAACUUCAGGAAACUGGGGCUAAUACCGGAUAGGAGCUCCUGCUGCAUGUUGGGGGUUGGAAAGUUUCGGCGGUUGGGGAUGGACUCGCGGCUUAUCAGCUUGUUGGUGGGGUAGUUGCUUACCAAGGCUUUGACGGGUAGCCGGCCUGAGAGGGUGACCGGCCACAGUGGGACUGGGGUGCGGCCCGGAGUCAUACGGGGGGCAGCAGUGGGGAAUAUUGCGCGAUGGGCGGAAGCCGGAUGCAGGAACGCCGCGUGCGGGAUGACGGCCGUCGGGUUGUAAACCGCUUUCGCCUGUGACGAAGCGUGAGUGACGGUAAUGGAUAAAGAAGCACCGGCUAACUACGUG
rnacentral:rRNA from 1 species